rnacentral:rRNA from 1 species
UACAGAGGUCCCAAGCGUUUGUUCGGAUUCACUGGGCGUAAAGGGUGCGUAGGCGGUCGGGUAAGUCUGACGUGAAAUCUUCAAGCUCAACUUGGAAACUGCGUCCGAUACUAUUCGGCUAGAGGAAUGGAGGGGAGACUGGAAUACUUGGUGUAGCAGUGAAAUGCGUAGAUAUCAAGUGGAACACCAGUGGCGAAGGCGAGUCUCUGGACAUUUCCUGACGCUGAGGCACGAAGGCCAGGGGAGCAAACGGG